UGAGGGAUCUUCGGCAAUGGGGGCAACCCUGACCGAGCAACGCCGCGUGCGGGAGGACGCCUUUCGGGGUGUAAACCGCUUUUCUGGGGGACGAGGUUAGUACGGACGGUACCCCAGGAAGAAGUCUCGGCUAACUACGUGCCAGCAGCCGCGGUAAUACGUAGGAGACGAGCGUUGUCCGGAGUUACUGGGCGUAAAGGGUGCGCAGGUGGUUGUGCGCGUGGGGGGUGAAAUCGCCCGGCUUAACUGGGCGGGGGCCUUCCAGACGGCGUGACUUGAGGCGCGGAGGGGGACGUGGAAUUCCGGGUGGAGCGGUGAAAUGCGUAGAGAUCCGGAGGAACACCGACGGCGCAGGCAGCGUCCUGGCCGCGACCUGACACUGAGGCACGAAAGCUGGGGGAGCAAACAGGAUUAGAUACCCUGGUAGUCCCAGCCGUAAACGAUGUCCACCAGGUGCUGGGCGGAUCGACCCGUUCAGUGCCGCAGCUUACGUGAUGAGUGGACCGCCU
rnacentral:rRNA from 1 species